rnacentral:rRNA from 1 species
AAACCAGCACCUCAAGUGGUCAGGAUGAUUAUUGGGCCUAAAGCAUCCGUAGCCUGAUCUGUAAGUUUUCGGUUAAAUCUGUACGCUCAACGUACAGGCCGCCGGGAAUACUGCAGAUCUAGGGAGUGGGAGAUGUAGACGGUACUCGGGAGGAAGUGGUAAAAUGCUUUGAUCUCUCGAUGACCACCUGUGGCGAAGGCGGUCUACCAGAACACGUCCGACGGUGAGGGAUGAAAGCUGGGGGAGCAAACCGGAUUAGAAACCCGAGUAGUCC